rnacentral:rRNA from 1 species
UACGGAGGAGGCAAGCGUUAUCCGGAAUUAUUGGGCGGAAAGAGCUCGUAGGCGGUUUGUCGCGUCUGCCGUGAAAGUCCGGGGCUCAACUCCGGAUCUGCGGUGGGUACGGGCAGACUAGAGUGAUGUAGGGGAGACUGGAAUUCCUGGUGUAGCGGUGAAAUGCGCAGAUAUCAGGAGGAACACCGGUGGCGAAGGCGGUUCUCUGGGUCGGCCCUGACGCUGAGGCACGAAAGCGUGGGGAGCGAACGGG